rnacentral:lncRNA from 1 species
AGUGAAGAGGCUGCAAAGUUAUCACAAGGGAGUAAAUUACAAAUGUUUCCUAUGCUCCCCAGAUGUGAUGUGUUCUGCUAAUCGAAUGCAUUAGGAUUUGCUUUAGAACGAAGUUACAUGGAAGAGUCACUGGAUGGGGGAUUUAUUUGGCUGUCACAAAUUCGGGUGCAAGCGAUUGGUACCAGGAGGAUUUAUGGCAACUGAACUUUAAGAAGACGGGAAUAGGGGCUGGCCUGGUGGCACAGCGGCUGGAAUCUAGACCAAGACACCACCCUAAUAACAGUAUGAGAAGAAGACAGAAGAAAUUGGGUCACUGGUAGUAUCACCAUACCAGCUCUAGUGUGCUUAUACAAGG